UCGGGGCCCAGUACAGGCUGGCCACUGACCGGGAUGUUCCUGUCUGCAGCAGAAGAUGGGGAUGGGGACACCCAUCAGCAGCACCCACUGAAGUAAGGGGGAGUUUCUGCACUGGCCUUGUGGAGCUGCCCAGGAACCUUUUUUCAGGAACCUGAAAUUGCUGUGUUGUGAAAUCCUGUCAGCAGGAAGAAGGGAAGGCCGACCGUGGCAGGGUGCCUGCGCUUGAUACAAGCCUACAGCAAGGGCUCAGCCGUGAUGAGCCACACGAGCCGCUGGCCCAGACCAGGACUGUCCCUGCCACCAAAGUCAGGCCUGAAGAAUUUGCUGUUUCUCAUCUGCAGCCUUCACCUUCUCGUAAGGAAGUUCAUUU